rnacentral:rRNA from 1 species
CAGUAGCCGCGGUAAAACGUAGGGUGCAAGCGUUAAUCGGAAUUACUGGGCGUAAAGCGUGCGUAGGCGGUUUGUUAAGUCUGCUGUGAAAUCCCCGGGCUCAACCUGGGAAUGGCAGUGGAUACUGGCAAGCUAGAGUGUGUCAGAGGAUGGUGGAAUUCCCGGUGUAGCGGUGAAAUGCGUAGAGAUCGGGAGGAACAUCAGUGGCGAAGGCGGCCAUCUGGGACAACACUGACGCUGAGGCACGAAAGCGUGGGGAGCAAACAGGAUUAGAUACCCCCGUAGUCCCUGUCUCUUAUAC